AACUUUGCACAGUGGCAGUACUGUAGCCACUGAGAUUUAUCCAAGACACGAUUAUUGCUAAUAAGAAACUUCUUAUAUUCC
rnacentral:snRNA from 1 species